GUGUUCACUUCAGCAGCACAUAUACUAAAAUUGGAAUGAUUCAGAGAAGAUUAGCAUGGCCCCUGCUCAAGGGUGACUUGAAAAUUUGUGAAGCAUUCCAAACUUUU